rnacentral:rRNA from 1 species
AUCAUGGCUCAGAUUGAACGCUGGCGGCAUGCUUUACACAUGCAAGUCGAACGGUAACAGGCCUUCGGGCGCUGACGAGUGGCGAACGGGUGAGUAACGCAUCGGAACGUGCCCAGUCGUGGGGGAUAACGCAGCGAAAGCUGUGCUAAUACCGCAUACGAUCUGCGGAUGAAAGCGGGGGACCUUAGGGCCUCGCGCGAUUGGAGCGGCCGAUGUCAGAUUAGGUAGUUGGGUGGGGGUAAAAGGCCCACCAAGCCAACGAUCUGUAGCUGGUCUGAGAGGACGACCAGCCACACUGGGACUGAGACACGGCCCAGACUCCUACGGGAGGCAGCAGUGGGGAAUUUUGGACAAUGGGCGCAAGCCUGAUCCAGCAAUGCCGCGUGAGUGAAGAAGGCCUUCGGGUUGUAAAGCUCUUUUGUCAGGGAAGAAACACCGGCUCUAACACAGUCCGGGAAUGACGGUACCUGAAGAAUAAGCACCGGCUAACUACGUG